rnacentral:rRNA from 1 species
ACACAUGCAAGUCGAGGGGCAGCAUGGUCUUAGCUUGCUAAGGCCGAUGGCGACCGGCGCACGGGUGAGUAACACGUAUCCAACCUGCCGUCUACUCUUGGACAGCCUUCUGAAAGGAAGAUUAAUACAAGAUGGCAUCAUGAGUCCGCGUGUUCACAUGAUUAAAGGUAUUCCGGUAGACGAUGGGGAUGCGUUCCAUUAGAUAGUAGGCGGGGUAACGGCCCACCUAGUCUUCGAUGGAUAGGGGUUCUGAGAGGAAGGUCCCCCACAUUGGAACUGAGACACGGUCCAAACUCCUACGGGAGGCAGCAGUGAGGAAUAUUGGUCAAUGGGCGCAGGCCUGAACCAGCCAAGUAGCGUGAAGGAUGACUGCCCUACGGGUUGUAAACUUCUUUUAUAAAGGAAUAAAGUCGGGUAUGUAUACCCGUUUGCAUGUACUUUAUGAAUAAGGAUCGGCUAACUCCGUGCCAGCAGCCGCGGUAAUACGGAGGAUCCGAGCGUUAUCCGGAUUUAUUGGGUUUAAAGGGAGCGUAGAUGGAUGUUUAAGUCAGUUGUGAAAGUUUGCGGCUCAACCGUAAAAUUGCAGUUGAUACUGGAUAUCUUGAGUGCAGUUGAGGCAGGCGGAAUUCGUGGUGUAGCGGUGAAAUGCUUAGAUAUCACGAAGAACUCCGAUUGCGAAGGCAGCCUGCUAAGCUGCAACUGACAUUGAGGCUCGAAAGUGUGGGUAUCAAACAGGAUUAGAUACCCUGGUAGUCCACACGGUAAACGAUGAAUACUCGCUGUUUGCGAUAUACAGCAAGCGGCCAAGCGAAAGCGUUAAGUAUUCCACCUGGGGAGUACGCCGG